AACGAACGCUGGCGGCAGGCCUAACACAUGCAAGUCGAGCGAGGACUUCGGUCCUAGCGGCGGACGGGUGAGUAACGCGUGGGAACGUGCCCUUUGCUUCGGAAUAGCCCUGGGAAACUGGGAGUAAUACCGGAUGAGCCCUUUGGGGGAAAGAUUUAUCGGCGAAGGAUCGGCCCGCGUUGGAUUAGGUAGUUGGUGGGGUAAUGGCCUACCAAGCCGACGAUCCAUAGCUGGUUUGAGAGGAUGAUCAGCCACACUGGGACUGAGACACGGCCCAGACCCCUACGGGGGGCAGCAGUGGGGAAUCUUAGAAAAGGGGGGAAACCCGGAUCUAGCCUGGCCGCGUGAGCGAUGAAGGCUUUAGGGUUGUAAAGCUUUUUCAGCGGGGAAAAUAAGGGCGGAACCAGAAAAAGAAGCCCGGGCAAACUCCGG
rnacentral:rRNA from 1 species